GCAGGCAACGGAUUGUCUAAUGCCGAACUCCUGGCUUAGUUCAUCUCAAAGUCUGCGGAGAAUAGAUGCGUCAAUUUCGUGAACUGAGCAUGUUUAGAUCCCAGAAAUGUUCGGUCUUUAAAGUUGUCCACAGUC
rnacentral:snoRNA from 1 species